UAAGAGUCUUAAUUUAGUUGUAUCUAUUUCAAUCUCAUAUUUAUCUCUUUCUCUUUUAAAUACUCCGAGUAAAAUGUCUUUCAUUGAUGAUUUCGAACACCUUAGAAUUCAAUUGAAAGACAUAAAGUUGGCCACCAACAAUUUCGGCGACAACCCUAUUGGAAUCGGUGGGUUCAGAAAGGUAUACAAAGGCGAACUCUCACUCCCCGGAGGAAAGAAAAUGGUAGCUUUCAAGCGCUUAGAUCGUAGAUACGGGCAAAGGGAUAUUGAGUUUUGGAAGGAAAUAAUGAUACUUUCACAAUACAAACAUGAAAAUCUUAUUUCUCUCUUAGGCUAUUGCAAUGAUGAUGGUGAGAGAAUUCUCGUGUAUGAGUAUGCAUCCGGUGGAAGCCUUGAUCGCUAUCUAAAUAAAACUAGUCUAACUUGGACACAACUUCUCACGAUAUGUCAUGGGGCUGCGUGUGGACUUAACCAUCUUCAUGAUCCUGCUGGGACACAACAGAGAAUUUUACAUCGAGAUGUUAAGAGCUCAAACAUUCUACUCGACGAAAAUUUUACAGCAAAAAUUUCUGAUUUUGGCUUAUCAAAAAUCGGCCCAGCUAACCAACAAUAUUCAUAUCUUGUUUCCAAUGAUGUGGGUACAUAGGGGUAUUGUGAUCCCAUGUAUAUGGAGACGGGCUCCUUGUCAAAAGAGUCCGAUGUAUACUCUUUUGGAGUGGUGUUAUUUGAAGUAAUGUGUGGGAGACCAUGCUUUGAAAUAUGUAAUGGUGAGCAAAACAUUUUAGUGCAUAAGUGGAAAGAAUGUUAUCAAGCGAAUGGUAUAAAUGAUAUCAUCUCUAAUCAUCUAAAGGAACAUACUGAUAUAGAUAUAGAUAGGGAAUCUCUUGACACGUUUUGCAAGCAUUGCAUAUCGAUGUUUGCAAAGAAAUCGGAAAGAAAGACCAACGAUGGCAGAGGUAAUCAAAGAACUUCCUAAGGCACUAGAUAUUCAAGAAACAUAUGGAGAUGUUGAUGAGAGAAAUACAUAUAUAGAAUUAGUCAGCAUUGCAAAUCAGGCCACAACGCCACAACAUAACAUUUACACCAGAGAUUGGGAAAUGAUGAUAAAGCCCGCCCCCAUAACUGGCAGAUCUCGAACUGAACCUGCAUUGCUUCUCUCCCGGGGAUUCAUGUUUUGGAGAGCGAGCAUCGGAUUGAACGAAACAAGAAUGGGGAAUAUUAUGAGUUGAUAAGUAGAUACAAAUGUCAGCUUCCCGGAAUUACAUUUCUACAGUUUUUCAAUUUUAACACUGAUGUGUUCUAUGGGGGGAAAGGUUUACCGUGUAUCUCAAUUAGCUCCUCUAAUAAAUUGGAAGCAUGCCCUCAGUUCUUAUCAGUUAAUGUCACGUACAACAUGAACCUCUUCUACCGAUAUCUUGAGGAUGGUGAUAAAGGGGUACAUGUACCCCUCAAAUACAAAUUGCAUGAUGAGAAAGAAUAUCGCACAUCAUGUGUGGCACAGAGGAGAGGCAAAUGGCUAAUAACCACACUAUACCAAUUUAAUAGCUACCAAAAGGAACAUGAUUUUAAAAUUCUAGUCAUAGGCCGGUUGCGUCCUGAUCAUGUUCAUCGUAAAGAUGUUCAUUGUGACAGUUGUGCGCUGUUUCUUGUAGGCAUUGAAUUCGUGCCCGUGGAGCAUGCCUAGAAAGAUGAAAAUUUAGAGGAAGAUAAGAUCAAGGUUGAUAAGCAAUCAAAUCUGGACACUGAUUGGGAAGGGAAAUUGCCAAGUGAUUAUGCUGAAAUAAUCAAAUCGUCAAAGGAUGAUAAUAUGCAGAGCAAAACUCACAAGGAACUCUACUACACGUCCCUUCAAAUAAUUGUGGUUUUUAUAACCCAACCCCUUAGCGCAUCUAUAUUUGUAACAUAUUAUCUCAUCGUUAUCAAAAUUUUGAUAUUAAUAUUAAUAAUAUUUCAUUGUCAUA